rnacentral:rRNA from 1 species
GUCUGCGGCCACAGCUAGGCGAUAACAGCAGUUCCCGUCCGAUCACUGCAGGAAGUGAAACCGUCUGAGGGUGUCGUUAGUACUAUGGUUGGAGACAACAUGGGAAUCCGGGAUGCUGUAGGCU